rnacentral:rRNA from 1 species
GCCUAACACAUGCAAGUCGAGCGAGAAAGGUCUUCGGACUGAGUAAAGCGGCAAACGGGUGAGUAACGCGUGAGAAUCUACCUUUUAGUGAGGAAUACCUUCGAGAAAUCGAAGUUAAUACUGCAUAUGACCCUUCGGGGAGAAAGAUGGCCUCUUUGCUGUCGCUAAAAGAUGAGCUUGCGUACUAUUAGCUAGUUGGUGGGGUAAAGGCCUACCAAGGCGAUGAUGGUUAGCCGGCCUGAGAGGGCGAACGGCCACACUGGAACUUAGACACGGUCCAGACUCCUACGGGAGGCAGCAGUGAGGAAUAUUGCGCAAUGGGCGAAAGCCUGACGCAGCGACACCGCGUGGAGGAUGAAGGCCUUCGGGUUGUAAACUUCUGUUAAGUGGGAAGAAAAGCGAGGUUCUAAUACAGCCUUGAAAUGACGGUACCACUAGAGAAAGCACCGGCUAACUUCGUGCCAGCAGCCGCGGUAAUACGAAGGGUGCAAGCGUUAUUCGGAAUGAUUGGGCGUAAAGGGUGCGCAGACGGUAUGUUAAGUCAACUGUUAAAUUUCCCGGCCUAACCGGGAGCAAGCAGUAGAAACUGGCGUACUAGAGGGUGGAAGAGAGAAGUGGAAUUCUCGGAGUAGCGGUAAAAUGCGUAGAUCUCGAGAGGAACACCGAUGGCGAAGGCAGCUUCUUGGUCCAUACCUGACGUUCAUGCACGAAAGCGUGGGGAGCAAACAGGAUUAGAUACCCUGGUAGUCCACGCCGUAAACGAUGAUCACUGGAUGUUA